rnacentral:misc_RNA from 1 species
GUGAAUCAUCGAAUUUUUGAACGCAAAUUGCACUCUCUGGCAUUCCGAAGAGUAUGCCUGUUUGAGUGUCAGUAUAAUCAAAAUCGUAUCGAUUCUUUUUGGGUUACGCACCGGAGUUUGGGUCUUCUUAACUCUUUAUUAGUCCUAAAAUUAACAUUCUUUUUUUGCUCACUUUGAGACGUACAUGAUUUUUUUUUUUCGUCUACACUGUUGUCACAGAUUUUACUAGAUCGUGCAUAACGUAUAUUGUUCUCGCGUUGUUCAUUAUCAUGAUUUUACCUCU